rnacentral:hammerhead_ribozyme from 15 species
AGUCAGUCUUAACUGAUGAGGCGAUGGAAAUUGCUGAAACUGACG